CCCUGCCCAAAGGCACAGGGCCACAGCCACACACCGCGCUACUGGGAUGCAGAAUGCCUGGUUGCCAGCUCUCCCCCUUUUAAAAGAAAAGUCAAAUAACUAGAUUUUUAUGCAAAAUCAUCCAAAAUUUCAGUGUUUACAGCUGUUUGUUUUCUUCUUUCUUUUUCAAAAUACCAUGUGGAACAAACACAGAUGUAUGAAGGCCCCCAGUCUGCCGUGGUCUCUAGAGGAAGAACUGGGUUAGCCAGGUCACAGAUGCCUCAGGAGUGUUAAAUGAGGACUCUUGUGGAAGAAGAGGCCCUGCACCCCUCUCUCCUCUCUCCAUGCACACAGGGCAACUGCUGUGGAGAGCACGCCAGAACACCCUUCCGAAACUGCCUCAGAUGAAGCCUGCCUUUUACAGAGUAAGGGCCCACCAAAUCAGGUGACAAACGCCCAGAGGUACAGAUGCAGGACCAUGGAUACAGAGGGCCAACUGUGGUACUUGAGCAUCCAUGGAGUUUUGGUAUCUGAGGCAGGUCCUGGAACCGAUCCCCAGUGGAUAUCAAGAUGAAGAGGUCUGAGACAGGAAGAGGAAGUACUACAGUGGGAGCUACACUGAAAGGCCUUCUCUGCCCACCUGGCCAUCUUAGUUUCAGGGGGAAGGAGCUAUUUCAGAGUCAAAAGUCCAACUUCGAUCACCCCAUAGAGAUGCGCAGCAUCAAUUCUGGAGAGCAAGGAGCCCACCUUACCUUUCAGCCAGUAUUUGUCAAACACGGGCAUUCGGAGAAGGCAGGUAUUUCAGCAUGUAUCUUCAAGAGAAUCGGACUCUGCAAUUCCUAUCAAAAUCCCAAGAGGAUUCUCCAUAGGAAAUAGAUAAGCUUAUACUAAAAUUUAUAUGGAAAGCCACAGGCCCUAGAAGAGGUAAACAAUCUUGAUAAAGAAGAAUAAAGUGGGGGGAAUUCCUCUACCUGAUAUGAAGGUCACUGUAUAGCUACAGUUAUCAAGACAGUGUGGUGUUGGUGGAGAGACAGACACAUAGGUCAGAGGAACUGAAAGAAGACCCUAGAAGUAGACCCACACACGUAAGCGCAACUGAUUUUUAACAAAGGUACAAAAUCAAUUUAGUUGAGGAAAGACAGCCUUUUCAAUAAAUGGUGCUGAAGCAAUUACAUCCAU